rnacentral:rRNA from 1 species
AUGCACGCUCACCGAGCAAUCGUCGAACCCGCUUUGCUCAAGUCUGACUUGAUGAUGGCAGCGAAGAAGCCAAAAAAGGAAGCAACAAAACUGACGGCGGGGUCGCCGCCGACGAACAUCACCGCGGUGGAGAUGGCUCUGCCGGCCCGCGACGACUACGAGUACCUAACCCCAGCGCUGGCGCUGCCUCCGGGCGUCUACUUCAACCCGACGAACGAGGAGAUCGUGCGCACCUACCUCAACGGGUGGAUCGCCGGGCACGACACGUCGGGCGCAGAGGCGGCCGUCGUCAUCGAGGACGACGUCUACGGCGACACACCCGACGUGCUGGCGCGCAGGCACCUGCCGGCCAGCACCCGCGACUCCGACCCCAGCUGGUGGUUCCGCUGCCACUGCAAGGUGCAGGCCACGCGCGGCGGCGCCGCCCACCGGGGCGACCGCAGAGUCGCCACGGGAGGCUUCUGGAAGCUGGAGCAGACCACGAAGGAGGUGAGAUGCGAGGCGGACGGCGAGCACCUGGGGUUCAAGCGCAGCUUCGGGUUCUACGUCGAGCACGAGGGCGAGAAGGAGAAGACGCGGUGGCUCAUGGAGGAGUACACCAACGUCGACUCGCCGGACGAAGGCACCGUCCGCAACGACGGCAAGAACGUCCUGCCCGCGCUCUACAGGAUAUACCUCACCCCACGCGAUCCCGGCAAGAAGAAGAGGAAGCAGAGUGGCAGAGAUGUUGGGGACGACUACGACGACGUCGACGGUGGGCCUGUGAAGGCUGCCCGCGUGAAGGUUCCGAACGCUUACUUACACGCCAUCGCGGCGUUGCUGUCGCCGUCGAGCGUUCGUGGUGCCGGCCAGGAGGAGCCGCAGGGCGGCGUUGAAGCGCCGCCGCCACCUUCGGGCGUUUUCAGUGAGUACCGAGGUGAGGCCGCGUCGUCGGAUGAUGAUGAUCACGGCAUGACAAUGAACGAGAAUCUCCUCGAGGAGGCGCAGGGCAGCACCGGCGGCGACGACUCCCCUGAGAUGCGUGUUCUCGUUACGAUGAACGACGGCGGCAUCCCGGCGUGGGAGAUGGGCAUGGGUGGAGGAUACGUUUUCGCCGACACCCACUCCGGCUCCGGCAGCCACCCUUCUCGGCCGGCUGCCGCUUCGGCCUCGGCCGCCACCGCGCUCUGCAGGCAUGGGGAGCCGCGUCCAGCUCUCCGCCUCCUCGUCCGGCGGCUCGAGCCCCUCCUCCGCCCCUGGCUCUGCUCGCCCCCCUCCGCCAGAUCUGGCACCCCCUCCUCCCCGUCUUCGCUCUCUCAUCGUCGUGCUGUCGGCGCUGCGGCGCCCCAGGUGGAAGCCCCUUGGCAGCAGGUUCGGGGCCGGAAGGAGCGCCGGUCCCCUGUUUCCCAUCCCAGGCUGCCGGGCUUGUUGACCUCCCGCCCUCCUCGCUCUGCCAUCCCGGCCUCGCUCCACGGGUGCUGCUACAACUGUGGUGAGGACGAUGAGCACAUCUCCCGCCACUGCCCCAACCCGACGAAGUGCGUUCGCUGCGGCGGCCGCAACCACACGUCGCGUUGCACCCGGCCACGGAGCCCUUCGGACUCCCCGCCUGCUCGGCCUACGCCGCCCCUUCGCCCCGCCACGCGGCCAUCGCCUUCGGCACCUCUGCCGCCUCCUCCUCCGGGUCCGCCAUCGCCAGGCACCCUUCGUCUGGCUCCGCCGCCUGCCAUCCCGCCUUCGCCACCCGGCCUCCCUCCGAGCGCCGCGGCGGGCCUCGACCGGGCUUGGUCGGACGUGGUCAGGGCCGGUUCAGCCGGAAGCGUGGACAGCGUGGCCGGGCCGCAGUUCUCCGUUCCUUUUGAGGGUGGGGUGGAGGCGGCGCCUCGCCAGGACGAGCCGGUGGACUGCUGCUUCCUGGAGGCGGGCGCGGACAUCUGUGCCAUGGAAUCGGAGCUGACGCGGGCGGUCGUCGUGUCUGUGGGCGGCGCGCAGCCAAGCCUGGAUCUUGCUGAGGCUGCGGCGGCGCUGCACGUGGCCUUCGGUUGUGGACCGAUGGAUUUGUCCAUCCGUGCCUUCUUCCCGAAGGAUUUCCUGGUGCUCUGCAGGACGGUGGAGCUCAGAGACCGUAUGGUGGAUCGUGGCAUGGCCAUGGCCGGGGAGACCCCGCUGGUGCUCGGGUCGUGGCUCCGCCAGUCCCGGGUUGUUGGCAUUGUCAUGCCGUUCCUGGUGCAGCUCGCGCUGGUUGGCAUCCGGGCGAAUGCUUGGUCUAGGCGGGCUGCGCAGGAGGUCUUGCGGGGUAUUGGUUUGGUGGUCAAGGUUGCGGACUGCACGGCCCGACGGAGUGACAUGUCUCGCUUCAGGGUUUGGUUGAGGACGGACGACCCUGACCGGAUCCCUUCUCGGCGCAUUCUGGUGGUAGAAGAGCCGCACCGGCGGCAGGUGGCUCGCCAGGCGGAUGGUAUGGAUGCGUUCUGGUACCCGGUGGAGAUCAUCAGAGAGGCCCCUCCGGCCCGCCCUUCGUGGAGAUCGGCCCCUCCACCUCCCCCUCGGUCACCACCGCCGCCGCCAGACUCGGAUGAGGAUGAGGAUGGCUGUGACGGUGGGGAUGGACCGCGCCCCUGCAUUGGAAGGGCGUGCGCUGCUCGGGCGCAGCCCCUGGAUGGCCUGGAGGGCUCGACGAUGGGGUCGUCGGCAUCGGCGGCGCCGGUGCGGCAGCAUGAGCAGGGCACGCCGGCGGCCGGUGGUGGAUCUUUGGCGUGUCAGAGCUCGCAUGUGGCAUGUACCCCGCACCCGGAGGUGGGUCCCUUUGGGUCAAACCCGUUGGUGGAGCGGUCAGAGGAGGACGCCCCCGUCCCGGUGGAAAGCAUGGAUGGCCAAACGGCGGCUGGACACGUGGAAAGGCGCGGCCCUAGCGGGGAGUCCGAUAUGCUGUGGAGUACGGUGGAAGCGCAGGUUGUGAUGGCGAUCCCGGUGUCGUCUUGUGGAUCUAGAAGCCUCUCCCACCAACCAGAUAUGGACGGCAUGUCCCCUGAGCUGUCGCCUGUCUCGGUUAAUCGCCCCAACGGCAGGACGGACAGCGCGGAAACGGCGUUGGUAGAUAUUGGUGGACCGGACCCGGGUAUUGGAAUGGGUGGUGACGACUGGCAGUUGCUGGCGGGGCGCAGCAUCCCCAGCAUACCCAUUGGUUCCUGGGAUCUGAUUCUGCCGGACCCAGACGAGCACCCCACUCGCAUGCCCAGGCAUCUCAUCACGUUGGACGAUUUAAAUAGGAGUUGGAGCGGAUCCCGAGGGGAUCCCGGAGGAAGAGGUCACAAGCGCGCCUACACCGAGGCCCGCGGCUGCGGAUGCGCGUCUGGAGCAGUUUUGCACUCUGGUUCAAAAGCCUCUGGACCCAAUCCUCGCGAGGCCUAG